AGAGUGAACGCUGGCGGUAGGCCUAACACAUGCAAGUCGAACGGCAGCACAGUAGGAGCUUGCUCUUACGGGUGGCGAGUGGCGGACGGGUGAGGAAUACAUCGGAAUCUACCUUUUGGUGGGGGGAUAACGUAGGGAAACUUACGCUAAUACCGCAUACGCCCUUCGGGGGAAAGCCGGGGACCAGCAAUGGCCUGGCGCUGAUAGAUGAGCCGAUGUCGGAUUAGCUAGUGUGA
rnacentral:rRNA from 1 species